rnacentral:rRNA from 1 species
GAGCGAGCCUGUUACUUUAGGAAGGGACUGCGUUGGAUUAGCUAGUUGGUAAGGUAAUGGCUUACCAAGGCGACGAUCCAUAGCUGGUCUGAGAGGACGGACAGCCACAUUGGGACUGAGACACGGCCCAAACUCCUACGGGAGGCAGCAGUUGGGAAUAUUGGACAAUGGGGGAAACCCUGAUCCAGCGAUGCCGCGUGUGUGAAGAAGGCCUUCGGGUUGUAAAGCGCUUUUGGUAGUGAAGAGUAGGUAUAGACAAAUAAUCUAUGCUGAAGACUUAAGCUACGGAAAAAGCACCGGCAAACUCUGUGCCAGCAGCCGCGGCAAUACAGAGGGUGCAAGCGUUAAUCGGAAUGACUGGGCGUAAAGGGCAUGUAGGCGGUAAGAUAAGUGAGAUGUGAAAGACUGAGGCUCAACCUCAGGGUUGUCAUCUCAUACUAUCUAACUAGAGUGCAGUAGAGGAAAGUGGAAUUUCCGGUGUAGCGGUGGAAUGCGUAGAUAUCGGAAGGAACACCAGUGGCGAAGGCGGCUUUCUGGACUGUAACUGACGCUGAGGUGCGAAAGCGUGGGUAGCAAACAGGAUUAGAUACCCUGGUAGUCCACGCUGUAAACGAUGAGAACUAGCUGUUAGAACUGAAUAAGUUUUAGUAGCGAAGUGAACGCGAUAAGUUCUCCGCCUGGGGAGUACGACCGCAAGGUUAAAACUCAAAGGAAUUGACGGGGGCUCGCACAAGCGGUGGAGCAUGUGGUUUAAUUCGAUCAACGCGAAGAACCUUACCUACCCUUGUAUCCUAGGAAUCUACUAGAGAUAGUAGAGUGCCCGAGAGGGAACCUAGAGACAGGUGGUGCAUGGCUGUCGUCAGCUCGUGUCGUGAGAUGUUGGGUUAAGUCCCGAAACGAGCGCAACCCCUAUCCUUAGUUACCAUCGUGAAAGACGGGGACUCUAAGGAGACUGCUGGUGAUAAGCCGGAGGAAGGUGGGGAUGACGUCAAGUCAUCAUGUCCUUUAUGGGUAGGGCUACACACGUGCUACAAUGGGCAGUACAGAGGGAAGCAAAGCUGAGAAGUGGAGCGGAUCUCAGAAAGCUGUUCGUAGUCCGGAUUGAAGUCUGAAACUCGACUUCAUGAAGUAGGAAUCGCUAGUAAUCGCGGAUCAGAAUGCCGCGGUGAAUACGUUCUCGGGCCUUGUACACACCGCCCGUCAAACCAUGGAAGUGGGUUGUACCAGAAGUGGGUAGAAUAACCGAAAGGAGUUCGCUUACUACGGUAUGAUUCAUGACUGGGGUUAAGUCGGAAAG